rnacentral:rRNA from 1 species
GGGUUGUGAGGUUAAGCGACUAAGCGUACACGGUGGAUGCCCUGGCAGUCAGAGGCGAUGAAGGACGUGCUAAUCUGCGAAAAGCGUCGGUAAGGUGAUAUGAACCGUUACAGCCGGCGAUGUCCGAAUGGGGAAACCCAGUGCAAUUCGUUGCACUAUCGUUAACUGAAUACAUAGGUUAACGAGGCGAACCGGGGGAACUGAAACAUCUAAGUACCCCGAGGAAAAGAAAUCAACCGAGAUUCCCCCAGUAGCGGCGAGCGAACGGGGAGCAGCCCAGAGUCUGAAUCAGCUUGUGUGUUAGUGGAACGGUCUGGAAAGUCCGACGGUACAGGGUGAUAGUCCCGUACACCAAAAUGCACAGGCUGUGAACUCGAAGAGUAGGGCGGGACACGUGGUAUCCUGUCUGAAUAUGGGGGGACCAUCCUCCAAGGCUAAAUACUCCUGACUGACCGAUAGUGAACCAGUACCGUGAGGGAAAGGCGAAAAGAACCCCGGCGAGGGGAGUGAAAAAGAACCUGAAACCGUGUACGUACAAGCAGUGGGAGCACCUUCGGGUGUGACUGCGUACCUUUUGUAUAAUGGGUCAGCGACUUAUAUUCUGUAGCAAGGUUAACCGUAUAGGGGAGCCGCAGGGAAACCGAGUCUUAACUGGGCGUUAAGUUGCAGGGUAUAGACCCGAAACCCGGUGAUCUAGCCAUGGGCAGGUUGAAGGUUGGGUAACACUAACUGGAGGACCGAACCGACUAAUGUUGAAAAAUUAGCGGAUGACUUGUGGCUGGGGGUGAAAGGCCAAUCAAACCGGGAGAUAGCUGGUUCUCCCCGAAAGCUAUUUAGGUAGCGCCUCGUGAACUCAUCUUCGGGGGUAGAGCACUGUUUCGGCUAGGGGGUCAUCCCGACUUACCAACCCGAUGCAAACUACGAAUACCGAAGAAUGUUAUCACGGGAGACACACGGCGGGUGCUAACGUCCGUCGUGAAGAGGGAAACAACCCAGACCGCCAGCUAAGGUCCCAAAGUCAUGGUUAAGUGGGAAACGAUGUGGGAAGGCACAGACAGCCAGGAUGUUGGCUUAGAAGCAGCCAUCAUUUAAAGAAAGCGUAAUAGCUCACUGGUCGAGUCGGCCUGCGCGGAAGAUGUAACGGGGCUAAACCAUGCACCGAAGCUGCGGCAGCGACACUAUGUGUUGUUGGGUAGGGGAGCGUUCUGUAAGCCUGCGAAGGUGGCCUGUGAGGGUUGCUGGAGGUAUCAGAAGUGCGAAUGCUGACAUAAGUAACGAUAAAGCGGGUGAAAAGCCCGCUCGCCGGAAGACCAAGGGUUCCUGUCCAACGUUAAUCGGGGCAGGGUGAGUCGACCCCUAAGGCGAGGCCGAAAGGCGUAGUCGAUGGGAAACAGGUUAAUAUUCCUGUACUUGGUGUUACUGCGAAGGGGGGACGGAGAAGGCUAUGUUAGCCGGGCGACGGUUGUCCCGGUUUAAGCAUGUAGGCUGAUUAUCCAGGCAAAUCCGGAUAAUCAAGGCUGAGGUGUGAUGACGAGGCACUACGGUGCUGAAGUAACAAAUGCCCUGCUUCCAGGAAAAGCCUCUAAGCAUCAGGUAACAUCAAAUCGUACCCCAAACCGACACAGGUGGUCAGGUAGAGAAUACCAAGGCGCUUGAGAGAACUCGGGUGAAGGAACUAGGCAAAAUGGUGCCGUAACUUCGGGAGAAGGCACGCUGGUGUGUAGGUGAAGUCCCUGCGGAUGGAGCUGAGACCAGUCGAAGAUACCAGCUGGCUGCAACUGUUUAUUAAAAACACAGCACUGUGCAAACACGAAAGUGGACGUAUACGGUGUGACGCCUGCCCGGUGCCGGAAGGUUAAUUGAUGGGGUUAUCCGUAAGGAGAAGCUCUUGAUCGAAGCCCCGGUAAACGGCGGCCGUAACUAUAACGGUCCUAAGGUAGCGAAAUUCCUUGUCGGGUAAGUUCCGACCUGCACGAAUGGCGUAAUGAUGGCCAGGCUGUCUCCACCCGAGACUCAGUGAAAUUGAACUCGCUGUGAAGAUGCAGUGUACCCGCGGCAAGACGGAAAGACCCCGUGAACCUUUACUAUAGCUUGACACUGAACAUUGAGCCUUGAUGUGUAGGAUAGGUGGGAGGCUUUGAAGCGUGGACGCCAGUCUGCGUGGAGCCAACCUUGAAAUACCACCCUUUAAUGUUUGAUGUUCUAACGUUGGCCCCUGAUCGGGGUUGCGGACAGUGUCUGGUGGGUAGUUUGACUGGGGCGGUCUCCUCCCAAAGCGUAACGGAGGAGCACGAAGGUUAGCUAAUCCUGGUCGGACAUCAGGAGGUUAGUGCAAUGGCAUAAGCUAGCUUGACUGCGAGCGUGACGGCGCGAGCAGGUGCGAAAGCAGGUCAUAGUGAUCCGGUGGUUCUGAAUGGAAGGGCCAUCGCUCAACGGAUAAAAGGUACUCCGGGGAUAACAGGCUGAUACCGCCCAAGAGUUCAUAUCGACGGCGGUGUUUGGCACCUCGAUGUCGGCUCAUCACAUCCUGGGGCUGAAGUAGGUCCCAAGGGUAUGGCUGUUCGCCAUUUAAAGUGGUACGCGAGCUGGGUUUAGAACGUCGUGAGACAGUUCGGUCCCUAUCUGCCGUGGGCGCUGGAGAAUUGAGGGGGGCUGCUCCUAGUACGAGAGGACCGGAGUGGACGCAUCACUGGUGUUCGGGUUGUCAUGCCAAUGGCACUGCCCGGUAGCUAAAUGCGGAAGAGAUAAGUGCUGAAAGCAUCUAAGCACGAAACUUGCCCCGAGAUGAGUUCUCCCUGAGACUAAC